GGAUCAUCAGGUUGGUCGUGCCUCUGGUAUGUACUGAUUUCGAUGGUUCCUCCUUCUUGAAGAUCCGUAAUGCCAUUAAUUUGGUGUUGCGGGGAAUCAGGACUGUUACUUUGAAAAAAUUAGAGUGUUUAAAGCAGGCAAUCGCUUGAAUACAUUAGCAUGGAAUAAUGGAACAGGAUUGGGGUCCUGAUUUCGUUGGUUUCUAGGAUCUCAGUA
rnacentral:rRNA from 1 species